UCUUUCUUUUAUUGCUUUGCUUUGUUCAACACUCCAAGAACUUGGACAACUCACAGUCAAGACCUUCCGUCUGGUAAUCUGGUAACAUCUUGCCUGGGUCUCUGAGUUUCUACUCUUGGGCCUCUUGGAGGAACUCAUGCUCAUCCUCUUCCUGAGCAUAUUCCUGGUCACUGGGCUGAAGAACCUGCUCAUCAACGAAUUGCUUGAGCCCAGGAGGCAGAGGUUGCAGUGAGCCAAGAUCACACCACUGCACUCCAGCCUGGGCGACAGAGAGAGACUCUGGCUCAAAAAAAAAAAAGAACCUGCUCAUCAUCCCAGCCAUUGCCACUGACACCCGGCUCUCUGUGCUCGUGCGCUUUUUCCUUGCCAACCUGGCCUUCGUGGUCACUUGCUUCACCUCCACCACCAUCCCCAAGAUGCUGGACGUGCAAAGAGAUCCCUUGUGUCAUGUCAGGAUGCAAAGGGAUUCCUUAUGCUGGUUGCCUGACCCAGAUGCUCUUCUUCAUCUGUUAGGCAUCCACAGCUUCCUGCUGACUGCAAUGGCCAAUGAACACUGUGUGGCCAUCUGUCACUCUCUGAACUCCAUCAGGUCUGUGACACCAUAGCUCUGUGGCCUCCUGGUGGUGGCCUCCUGGACCUUCGCAUUCAGGAAUGCCCUGACCCACCCAGUGUUACUGACCCGCCUCUCACUCUGCACCUACGAGUGGGUCAGCCAUGUCUUCUGCAACCUCAGCCAGCUGCUGAAGUUGGCCUGCUCAGAC
rnacentral:lncRNA from 10 species